UUAAAUUGAAGAGUUUGAUCAUGGCUCAGAUUGAACGCUGGCGGCAGGCCUAACACAUGCAAGUCGAACGGUAACAGGAAGAAGCUUGCUUCUUUGCUGACGAGGGGCGG
rnacentral:rRNA from 1 species